AUUGAACGCUGGCGGCAUGCCUUACACAUGCAAGUCGAACGGCAGCACGGGAGCAAUCCUGGUGGCGAGUGGCGAACGGGUGAGUAAUAUAUCGGAACGUGCCCAGUCGUGGGGGAUAACGCAGCGAAAGCUGUGCUAAUACCGCAUACGAUCUCUGGAUGAAAGCGGGGGACCGUAAGGCCUCGCGCGAUUGGAGCGGCCGAUAUCAGAUUAGCUAGUUGGUGGGGUAAAGGCCCACCAAGGCGACGAUCUGUAGCUGGUCUGAGAGGACGAACAGCCACACUGGAACUGAGACACGGUCCAGACUCCUACGGGAGGCAGCAGUGGGGAAUUUUGGACAAUGGGCGCAAGCCUGAUCCAGCAAUGCCGCGUGCAGGAUGAAGGCCUUCGGGUUGUAAACUGCUUUUGUACGGAACGAAACGGCCCUUUCUAAUACAGGGGGCUAAUGACGGUACCGUAAGAAUAAGCACCGGCUAACUACGUGCCAGCCGCCGCGGUAA
rnacentral:rRNA from 1 species